UACGGAGGGUGCAAGCGUUAUCCGGAUUCACUGGGUUUAAAGGGUGCGUAGGUGGGCUGGUAAGUCAGUGGUGAAAUCUCCGGGCUUAACUCGGAAACUGCCGUUGAUACUAUCAGUCUUGAAUGUUGUGGAGGUAAGCGGAAUAUGUCAUGUAGCGGUGAAAUGCUUAGAUAUGACAUAGAACACCGAUAGCGAAGGCAGCUUGCUACACAAUUAUUGACACUGAGGCUCGAAAGCGCGGGGAUCAAACAGG
rnacentral:rRNA from 1 species